GGUGGUCCCAGUAUUUCAUGCUGUGGCACCUUGACUGGACAUAGUGGCAUUACAUGUAGGAGGCAAAUUCUCUCCAACAUGAGGUGCUGAAACAACUUUCACACUUCUCAGUUCUUCUGCCCUGGUCUUCAGUUCCUCCGUGUUACUUUUUUCUUUGUAGUAUCAAUAGACAUCUUCAGGGAACUUUUGAAUUACUUUUAAAGAUUUAUGUUAUAAUAGAUAACCAGACUUAUAAAUGAUCUCUCAACUUUCCCUAAUUUUAUAGGAAAAGAAAGCAGGAAACUGUGACUAAAUGAAGAUCACAGAGCCAGUUGAUCAGUGGGGAAGCUGCAUCUGAAAUCCAGGACUUCUAGAUCCUGGGUCAACUGGGACAAAAACAACACCAACUUUCCCUCCCUAAGAGCUUCUUAUUGUUCAUUUUCGUUGCUAUUUGGAGAAAAAGCUCAUUAAAAUAUUAUGAAGCGCAUAGCAUAAUUACGUGCCAGCCUUUGCCAAUGAGGAACAUCUGUAGCACAGUGAGGGGUCAUGCAUUCUGGAAAAAGAUGUAGAGUGGUACAGGCUGAAAGCGGAGCGGAGAGGACACUGUUUCAAGAUUCCUGCGCCAGCUCCUUCGUUGUUAUAGAAGUUGGACUAAAUAAAAGGAAUUUUCAAAGAUGUUUGGAAAUGUGGCCCGUUAGCUAUAGCAGCCAUGAAGAUGUAGGACAAUUGAUUUGA
rnacentral:lncRNA from 1 species